UGAUCAGAAUACUGAAUAUGGUGACCUCGAUAAAAACCGACCAGAAGCUUACACUGAUGAUGAAGAUGAGAAGAGAUCAUCAGACCCUAAAUGGCAUAUAUAUAGGCGACGUUCGAACAGAAGACGGACAAAGCAGAACAGUUUCGGGCUCAGGCCAUUACGUGUUAUUGGGCUGAGACGCCGACGCAGAAGGGGAUAACGUAUUUCAACAGUUGAGAUUUAUUGGCACCGUUCAAACUCGAUGACCAAUACCCACCCUCAAUCAAGGAAAUCCAUCUCUGCAAUAAUAAAAAGCUAUCA